rnacentral:other from 2 species
UAUCUCCUGCGGCGAUACGAGGACGGGCUGGGUGUUUCCUGAACCUAUUUUUGCCCAGGGAAUUUUUUUUCAGUAUUGGUGUGCAUACCCGCUUUAAGUGGGGAGUCUGAUAUGCUGAAUGAAUUCCCACUUGAACUUUCGGUUCAAGGACGAAAGCCCGUCACGGCGCAGGCGGGAGAUAC